CUACACAUGAGAGAAACCUCACACUGUUCCUGCUGCUCCUGCAGCUCGUCCGACUCUUCUAUGAUGUCUGAGCUCCCUGACGACUGCCCUUUACCACACAGUCUCCAUUGGACCUCAGCCAGGACCCACCUCUGUCCGCUCCGACCGCCUUCUGGUCCAGGCUCAGCUUCUGCCGUCAUCUGUGACUACUGACAUCCUGGAUGGACUCCUUAGUGGACUUGACGUCCACUAGUUGGACUUUGCCUAUGCUUUCUUGAGUUUGCUACUCCCUCCCUUUCUGCAGCCUCACCAGGUGGGCCUGUAGCAUCUUUUAUGCAAAUAUUCAUGGCUCAACUUUCAGAACCCUAACUCUAAAGGAAUCCCCUGGGCCUUGAGAGAGAACCUGGGCUAGGGCUAGAGUUAGGGCAACAUACUCCAAGGUAACCUCACAUCUGACUAUCAAAUUAAGUGUUCUGAUUAGGAAGAGCAGAGGCAGGGCCAUGUGCUCAGAAUGGUGACAAUAAAGGAUUGCCUUUUACUUGUUC
rnacentral:lncRNA from 1 species